CAAGUCGAACGCGAAAGCCCCGCAAGGGGCAAGUAGAGUGGCAAACGGGUGAGUAACACGUGGGUGACCUGCCUUCGAGUGGGGGAUAACGUCCCGAAAGGGACGCUAAUACCGCAUGACAUCCUGCGUUUGGAAACGCGGAGAUCAAAGCCUGGGAUCGCAAGACCUGGCGCUUGAAGAGGGGCCCGCGCCUGAUUAGCUAGUUGGUGGGGUAACGGCCUACCAAGGCAACGAUCAGUAUCCGGCCUGAGAGGGCGGACGGACACACUGGGACUGAGACACGGCCCAGACUCCUACGGGAGGCAGCAGUGGGGAAUUGUUCGCAAUGGGCGCAAGCCUGACGACGCAACGCCGCGUGGAGGACGAAGAUCUUCGGGUCGUAAACUCCUGUCGAGCGGGAAGAACGCUUCCCGGGUGAAUAAUCCGGGGAGGUGACGGUACCGCUAAAGGAAGCCCCGGCUAACUCCGUGCCAGCAGCCGCGGUAAUACGGGGGGGGCAAGCGUUGUUCGGAAUUACUGGGCGUAAAGGGCUCGUAGGCGGCCAACUAAGUCGGAUGUGAAAUCCCCAGGCUUAACCUGGGAACUGCAUCUGAUACUGGAUGGCUCGAAUCCGGGAGAGGGAUGCAGAAUUCCAGGUGUAGCGGUGAAAUGCGUAGAUAUCUGGAGGAAUACCGGUGGCGAAGGCGGCAUCCUGGACCGGCAUUGACGCUGAUGAGCGAAAGCUAGGGGAGCAAACGGGAUUAGAUACCCCGGUAGUCCUAGCCCUAAACGAUGAAUGCUUGGUGUGGCGGGUAUCGAUCCCUGCCGUGCCGAAGCUAAC
rnacentral:rRNA from 1 species